rnacentral:snoRNA from 1 species
GCACCUGAAUCUUUCCCACUCCUGGCUGUGCAGUGCAGGUUUGGGGACACAUGGUGCCACAGCAAAGCAGAGGAAAUCCAGACAAGUUACCUUUCACAUUCCUGGGACUUGUCUCUACAACUCUGCAACACUU